AGAGUUUGAUCAUGGCUCAGGAUGAACGCUGGCGGCGUGCCUAAUACAUGCAAGUCGAGCGAACUGAUUAGAAGCUUGCUUCUAUGACGUUAGCGGCGGACGGGUGAGUAACACGUGGGCAACCUGCCUGUAAGACUGGGAUAACUUCGGGAAACCGAAGCUAAUACCGGAUAGGAUCUUCUCCUUCAUGGGAGAUGAUUGAAAGAUGGUUUCGGCUAUCACUUACAGAUGGGCCCGCGGUGCAUUAGCUAGUUGGUGAGGUAACGGCUCACCAAGGCAACGAUGCAUAGCCGACCUGAGAGGGUGAUCGGCCACACUGGGACUGAGACACGGCCCAGACUCCUACGGGAGGCAGCAGUAGGGAAUCUUCCGCAAUGGACGAAAGUUUGACGGAGCAACGCCGCGUGAGUGAUGAAGGCUUUCGGGUCGUAAAACUCUGUUGUUAGGGAAGAACAAGUACGAGAGUAACUGCUCGUACCUUGACGGUAUCUAACCAGAAAGCCACGGUUAACUACGUGCCAGCAGCCGCGGUAAUACGUAGGUGGCAAUCAUUAUCCGGAAUUAUUGGGCGUAAAGCGCGCGCAGGCGGUUUCUUAAGUCUGAUGUGAAAGCCCACGGCUCA
rnacentral:rRNA from 1 species